UACGUAGGGGGCAAGCGUUGUCCGGAAUCAUUGGGCGUAAAGAGCGUGUAGGCGGUCCGGUAAGUCGGCUGUGAAAGUCAAGGGCUCAACCCUUGAAAGCCGGUUGAUACUGUCGGGCUAGAGUCCGGAAGAGGCGAGUGGAAUUCCCGGUGUAGCGGUGAAAUGCGCAGAUAUCGGGAGGAACACCAGUGGCGAAGGCGGCGACCUGGGCCAAUAUUGACGCCGAGGUGCGAAAGCGUGGGGAGCAAACAGGG
rnacentral:rRNA from 1 species